UACGUAGGGUGCGAGCGUUAAUCGGAAUUACUGGGCGUAAAGCGUGCGCAGGCGGUUCGUUGUGUCGGCGGUGAAAGCCCCGGGCUCAACCUGGGAAUGGCCGUUGAAACUGGCGAACUGGAGUGUGGCAGAGGGGGGUGGAAUUCCGCGUGUAGCAGUGAAAUGCGUAGAGAUGCGGAGGAACACCGAUGGCGAAGGCAGCCCCCUGGGCUGACCACGUGACGCUCGAGGCACGAAAGCGUGGG
rnacentral:rRNA from 1 species